CUUCACUGGGUGCUAUACAGGUGACAGCCCUUCACUGGGUGCUAUACAGGUGACAGCCCUUCACUGGGUGCUACACAGGUGACAGCCCUUCACUGGGUGCUAUACAGGUGACAGCCCUUCACUGGGUGCUAUACAGGUGACAGCCCUUCACUGGGUGCUACACAGGUGACAGCCCUUCACUGGGUGCUAUACAGGUGACAGCCCUUCACUGGGUGCUACACAGGUGACAGCCCUUCACUGGGUGCUAUACAGGUGACAGCCCUUCA